AGAGUUUGAUCCUGGCUCAGAUUGAACGCUGGCGGCAUGCCUUACACAUGCAAGUCGAGCGGCAGCGCGGGGGCAACCCUGGCGGCGAGCGGCGAACGGGUGAGUAAUACAUCGGAACGUGUCCAGUAGCGGGGGAUAACCUGUCGAAAGAUAGGCUAAUACCGCAUACGACCUACGGGUGAAAGCGGGGGACCGCAAGGCCUCGCACUAUUGGAGCGGCCGAUGUCGGAUUAGCUAGUUGGUAGGGUCACGGCCUACCAAGGCGACGAUGGGUAGCCGAUCUGAGAGGAUGACCGGCCACACUGGGACUGAGAUACGGCCCAGACUCCUACGGGAGGCAGCAGUCGAGAGGCUUCGGCAAUGGGGGCAACCCUGACCGAGCGACGCCGCGUGCGGGAUGAAGGCCUUCGGGUUGUAAACCGCUGUCAGGAGGGAAGAAUCCUCUCGGGCGAAUACCCCGAGAGUUGACGGUACCUCCAAAUGAGU
rnacentral:rRNA from 1 species